GAUGAACGCUGGCGGCGUGCUUAACACAUGCAAGUCGAACGAUGAAGCCCCGCUUGCUGGGUGGGUUAGUGGCGAACGGGUAAGUAACGCGUAAGUCACCUGUCACUUACUCUGGGCUACUCCUGGGCAACUUGGACUAGUAGCUGAUACGGGCGUUCACCGCUCGGUGGGUGUUUGGGUGUUGUAUCGGUUUUGGAUGGACUCGCGGCCUAUCAGCUUGUUGGUGAGUUGUUGGCUCGCCAAGGCGCUGCCGGGUAGCCGGCCAGAGAGGGUGAGCGGCCACACUGGGACUGAGACACGGCGCAGAAUCCGACGGGAGGCAGCAGUGGGGAAUAGUGCACAAUGGGCGCAAGCCUGAUGCAGCGACGCCGCGUGAGGGAUGACGGCCUUCGGGUAGUAAAGCUCGUUCAGUAGGGAAGAAGCGAAAGUGACGGUACCUGGAGAAGAAGCACCGGCUAACUACGUG
rnacentral:rRNA from 1 species